rnacentral:rRNA from 1 species
UACGGAGAGUGCAAACGUUGUUCGGAUUCACUGGGCGUAAAGGGCACGUAGGCUGCUCGGCAAGUCGGUCGUGGAAUCCCGACGCUUACCGUCGGAACGGCGGCCGAAAAUACCGGGCUAGAGGGCGUGAGGGGUCACUGGAACUCCUGGUGAAGCGGUGAAAUGCGUAGAUAUCAGGAGGAACGCCGGAGGCGAAAGCGAGUGACUGGCGCGUUCCUGACGCUGAGGUGCGAAAGCUAGGGGAGCAAACAGG